CACCGGCAGCUCAAGUGGUGGCCAUUUUUAUUGGGCCUAAAGCGUUCGUAGCCGACUUGAUAAGUCUUUGGUGAAAUCCCAUAGCUUAACUGUGGGAAUUGCUGGAGAUACUGUUAGGCUUGAGGCCGGGAGAGGUUAGGGGUACUCCCAGGGUAGGGGUGGAAUCCUAUAAUCCUGGGAGGACCACCUGUGGCGAAGGCGCCUAACUGGAACGGACCUGACGGUGAGUAACGAAAGCCAGGGGC
rnacentral:rRNA from 1 species